UCGAGGGGUAGAGUAAGCUUGCUUACUUGAGACCGGCGCACGGGUGCGUAACGCGUAUGCAAUCUGCCUUGUACAAGGGGAUAGCCCAGAGAAAUUUGGAUUAAUACCCUAUAGUAUAUGAUUUUGGCAUCACUAUCAUAUUAAAGAUUUAUCGGUACAAGAUGAGCAUGCGUCCCAUUAGCUAGUUGGUAUGGUAACGGCAUACCAAGGCAAUGAUGGGUAGGGGUCCUGAGAGGGAGAUCCCCCACACUGGUACUGAGACACGGACCAGACUCCUACGGGAGGCAGCAGUGAGGAAUAUUGGUCAAUGGGCGCAAGCCUGAACCAGCCAUGCCGCGUGCAGGAUGACGGUCCUAUGGAUUGUAAACUGCUUUUAUACGGGAAGAAACCCUCCUUCGAGAAGGAGCUUGACGGUACCGUAAGAAUAAGGAUCGGCUAACUCCGUGCCAGCAGCCGCGGUAAUACGGAGGAUCCAAGCGUUAUCCGGAAUCAUUGGGUUUAAAGGGUCCGUAGGCGGUUUUAUAAGUCAGUGGUGAAAUCCGGCAGCUCAACUGUCGAACUGCCAUUGAUACUGUAGAACUUGAAUUAUUGUGAAGUAACUAGAAUAUGUAGUGUAGCGGUGAAAUGCUUAGAGAUUACAUGGAAUACCAAUUGCGAAGGCAGGUUACUAACAAUCGAUUGACGCUGAUGGACGAAAGCGUGGGUAGCGAACAGGAUUAGAUACCCUGGUAGUCCACGCCGUAAACGAUGGAUACUAGCUGUUCGGUAGCAAUACUGAGUGGCUAAGCGAAAGUGAUAAGUAUCCCACCUGGGGAGUACGAACGCAAGUUUGAAACUCAAAGGAAUUGACGGGGGCCCGCACAAGCGGUGGAGCAUGUGGUUUAAUUCGAUGAUACGCGAGGAACCUUACCAGGGCUUAAAUGUAGAGUGACAGACUUGGAAACAGGUUUUUCUUCGGACACUUUACAAGGUGCUGCAUGGUUGUCGUCAGCUCGUGCCGUGAGGUGUCAGGUUAAGUCCUAUAACGAGCGCAACCCCUGUUGUUAGUUGCCAGCGAGUCAAGUCGGGAACUCUAACAAGACUGCCGGUGCAAACCGAGAGGAAGGUGGGGAUGACGUCAAAUCAUCACGGCCCUUACGUCCUGGGCUACACACGUGCUACAAUGGCCGGUACAGCGAGCAGCCACUGCGCGAGCAGGAGCGAAUCUACAAAACCGGUCACAGUUCGGAUUGGAGUCUGCAACCCGACUCCAUGAAGCUGGAAUCGCUAGUAAUCGGAUAUCAGCCAUGAUCCGGUGAAUACGUUCCCGGGCCUUGUACACACCGCCCGUCAAGCCAUGGAAGCUGGGGGUACCUGAAGUCGGUGACC
rnacentral:rRNA from 1 species